AGGUAUCACAAGUGCGAAUGCUGACGCAAGUAACGAUAAAACGGAAAAAAAAUCCGUUCGCCGGAAGACCAAGGUUUCCUGUUCAACGUUAAACGGAGCAGGGUUAGUCGGUGCCUAAGGCGAGGCUGAAAAGCGUAGUCGAAGGGAAACGGGUUAAUAUUCCCGUACCGUGUUUCAUUGCGAUGGGGUGACGGAGAAGGUAAGGCUGGCCGGAGAACGGAAGUUCCGGUGAAAGACUGUAGGUAGAGAUUUGGGUUAAAAGACGAAUCUCGAUAAUCUGAGAGUUGAGACGAGGCAUAGAUAUGCUGAAGCAGUUGUGGCCAGGCUCCCAGGAAAAGCCCCUAAGCUAGAGAUGAGACAGGCCGUACCCCAAACCGACACAGGUGGUCGGGUAGAAGAUACCAAGGCGCUUGAGAGAACCCGGGUGAAGGAACUAGGCAAAAUUGUACCGUAACUUCGGGAGAAGGUACGCUGAGCUAGGUGAGGAGGUAAACCCUUUGAGCUAAGUUCAGCCGCAGAUAAAUGGUGGCUGGGACUGUUUAACAAAAACACAGCACUCUGCAAACCUGAAAGGGGAAGUAUAGGGUGUGACACCUGCCCGGUGCCGGAAGGUUAAAUGAUGAGGUUAGCGAAAGCGAAGCCUUUGAGUGAAGCCCCGGUAAACGGCGGCCGUAACUAUAACGGUCCUAAGGUAGCGAAAUUCCUUGUCGGGCAAGUUCCGACCUGCACGAAUGGUGUAACCAUGGCCACGCUGUCUCCACCCGGGACUCAGUGAAACCGAAAUCGCUGUGAAGAUGCAGUGUACCCGCGGCUAGACGGAAAGACCCCGUGAACCUUUACUGCAGCUUGACACUGAACCUUGAACCUGUUUGUGUAGGAUAGGCGGGAGACAUAGAAGCGGAAACGCCAGUUUUCGUGGAGUCGUCCUUGAAAUACCGCCCUGACAGUUUUGAGGUUCUAACUAAGGAAACGAAUCCGAGGACAGUGUCUGGUGGGAAGUUUGACUGGGGCGGUCUCCUCCCAAAGGAUAACGGAGGAGCACGAAGGUCGGCUGAUCACGGUCGGAAACCGUGAGGUCAGUGCAAUGGCAAAAGCCGGCUUGACUGCGAGAGCAGCAACUCGAGCAGGUGCGAAAGCAGGUCAUAGUGAUCCGGUGGUUCCAUAUGGACGGGCCAUCGCUCAACGGAUAAAAGGUACUCUGGGGAUAACAGGCUGAUACCGCCCAAGAGUUCAUAUCGACGGCGGUGUUUGGCACCUCGAUGUCGGCUCAUCACAUCCUGGGGCUGUAGUUGGUCCCAAGGGUAUGGCUGUUCGCCAUUUAAAGUGGUACGCGAGCUGGGUUCAAAACGUCGUGAGACAGUUUGGUCCCUAUCUACCGCGGGCGUUGGAUGAUUGAAGGGAGUUGCUCCUAGUACGAGAGGACCGGAGUGAACGAACCACUGGUUUACGGGUUGUCAUGCCAAUGGCACGGCCCGGCAGCCAAGUUCGGACCUGAUAACCGCUGAAAGCAUCUAAGCGGGAAGCAGACCCUAAGAUAAGUCAUCCCAAUCCAAGAGAUUGUAAAGACCGUUGAAGACUACGACGUUGAUAGGCCGGAUGUGGAAGCCCUGUGAGGGGUGUAGCUUGCCGGUACUAAUAAUCUGAGAGUCUUGACC
rnacentral:rRNA from 1 species